GGCAUGCGCCCGAGCUACCCGCGUCCCCCAAAAUCCACCCCGGAUCCUCUCCCUUCCCCGGUAUGCCAAAACCCGUCCCGGCUGCUCCCCGCCACAUCGCGGUGCCUCAAUACUCAAGACGCAGCAACCCCAAUCUAGCGCAACUUCUUCACCGCCGACUGCGUUGUGUCGCCGUGGUGGGACCGGGUCCAGCUUGCCCGACACUGGAUAGCAAUGUUGUUGAGAGGUGCCUGGCAGCAGUAAAUGCUCUUGCUUCAUACCAUUUCAGAGAAAGAUUAGGAGGGAGAGGAGGACAGAACUCGUAGCUCAUGGAAUCUGCAGGACCAAAUGGCAAACUGCAGGAAAGCAUACCAACUCAAUUCUUCAUACUUCUAUUGUAAAUACUUCUUUUUGAAGAUCUCGGGUGAGCUGUGUACUGAUAAUUUGUUUUUUAUUUUGAUUGUUUUCAAUAUUAAGCGAAGUACUUAUCAAUUUGUUAUUAUCUUGUUUAAUCACACCGCAAAUUGUGUCUGAAGGGAACCAGACCAUCAAAGCAUCCAUUGGUAUUUGGACUUGUUCACAUUUAACUUCAGUCUGCUAGAUUUUUUAUAUACCGUGUGUUCUCUGCAACAAUUACUCUAUACAUAUGUACCAUAACGUGAGGUUGAAAAGAUUUAUGUUCACAACUCUAUAGAUUUGUAAAGAGUUUCAUGAGAAAUGUGGUUACCUUUCUGCCCAGCUCCUCUUAGUGGCCUUCUUUCUAUUUCCCACAUCUUUGCACUGCUGCUGACUGAAUUUCAUCCACAGAUAUUUCACCAAUUCACUGCUUCCUCACUAUGAAUCACCUGCUGCUGCUGCUGCAAUCAACAUUCAGUCGACACAAACCAGACAAUUCACCUGGACACAAAACUGCAGCAGCAGCUGUGAACCAUUCAUUUAAAUUUAGACAAAGCAGCAACAAUUUCAGUCAAUCAUUCUAACUCAAACCAAGCAGCGGCAGUGUCGACCAUUCUUACAAAUUCAGAGCAAGCAGCCUCACUGCCGACCAUUGUUUCCACUUUAGACCAAGAAGCAGCAGUGUCAACCAUUCUUUCAAAUUCAGAGCAAUCAACCUCAGUGUCGACCAUUAUUUCCAAUUUAGACUAACAUGCAACAGUGUCAACCAUUUAGUCAACCAUUCUUUCCCCAAGCUGAAUGACUAGAGGGGCAAUUAGCAGGAGCAGAAGGAGCAUGUGUCGCUAAUCAUGUUGUUAGCCUUUUUUAUUCUUUGCUCCAGAAAUUUGUUAUCACAUUUCUUUUGCCUUGAAACUUGAAUAAACUUUCUUGUAGCAAUUGCUAAUACUAGAGGCUAAGCCUAUAUUUGGGUGCUUUUUCCUCCUAUGAUUGGCAUACAGACAUGCAGAUGGAUAUUGAUAAUAUGUAUUAUGAGGUACUAUCUUUUAUCAUGUCU